rnacentral:rRNA from 1 species
UACGUAGGGCGCAAGCGUUGUCCGGAAUUAUUGGGCGUAAAGAGCUCGUAGGCGGUCUGUCGCGUCGGCUGUGAAAACCCGGGGCUCAACCCCGGGCCUGCAGUCGAUACGGGCAGACUAGAGUGUGGUAGGGGAGACUGGAAUUCCUGGUGUAGCGGUGGAAUGCGCAGAUAUCAGGAGGAACACCGGUGGCGAAGGCGGCUCACUGGCUCAUUUCUGACGCUCAGGCGCGACAGCGUGGGGAUCAAACAGG